GCGUACGGCCAUACUAUGGGGAAAACGCCUGAACCCGUCCGAUUUCAGAAGUUAAGCCUCAUCAGGCCUUCUCAGUACUGGGGUGGGCGACCACCUGGGAACGGAGGGUGCUGUACGC
rnacentral:rRNA from 1 species